GACCAGGUAGCUUAAUUGGUAGAGCGUCCGUCUUGAAUUCAGAAGGUCCCGGGAUCGAACCCCGGUCUGUUCC